rnacentral:misc_RNA from 1 species
GAAAUGCGAUAAGUAGUGUGAAUUGCAGAAUUCAGUGAAUCAUCGAAUCUUUGAACGCACAUUGCGCCCUUUGGUAUUCCUUAGGGCAUGCCUGUUCGAGCGUCAUUUAAACCUCCAAGCCCUGCUUGGUGUUGGGUGCCUGUCCCGCCCCCGCGCGUGGACUCACCUCAAAUCCAUUGGCGGCCCCCGCAUGGCCACGAGCGCAGCAGAAACGCAAACUCGUGUGCCGGACCGGGCGGCUCCCAGAAGCUACACUCACAAUUUUUGACCUCGGAUCAGGUAGGGAUACCCGCUGAACUUAAGC